CAAACUAAUUAAAUAAGACUGUGGGGUUUGGGAAAGGUUGUGAAUGCAGGUGACGGUGACACGCUAAAGGCUAAUGUCCAUCUGCUGGUCACAGAUCCACAGGUCACUCGUCCUUGUAGCAGAUACAGCCUGAAACACCUCCCGUUAGCAGUCUGUCUGCAGUGAGGCUCAGCAAAGCCGCAUGUCAUGCAUGGAGAUUAAGCAAAAUCUGCUGCGCAGAAGAGGACCUUCCCAGGAAGAGGAUGGCAUGAGAUGUCCUUCAGAGCAGACUCAAGAGUGAAGCACUGGAGACACCAGGAAAUGGGACUGAACCAGAAAAAAACACCAUCACAAUAAACCCUAAAAACAAGACCCCAGCCACUCAGCACACCAGCUGCAGAAUUCCCAAUAACUAAGACCACAAAUAUGGAAGCAAGAACCAUAGACAGAACCAUAGAACCAGAGAGGAUAUGCAAGGCGAACUGAAACCGUAAACCUGGAAACAAGACACUGGGACACAGAACCACGAUGCCGGUGACAAGGUGUGCAAAAAGCAGAAGGGAACCAGAAAAAAACACAGGGAGAUUAAACUCAACCCAACACACCCAGAAGCUACACUCCAAACCCAGCCGAGAGAUGAGCCUGGGACUGGGGGACUGGGAGCCCGAGCGAAGCUGACCACUCAGGCUUACAUGGGCUGUGGAAGUAUAACAGGAUACAGGGACCUUGGCCUCUUAACUGUGCCUGGCACCUUGUGGCAAGCAGAGCAAAGUGAGAUAAGUGAGUGACAGGAGCUAAAGAAACCCCAAAGCUAGGACUCUGCAGGUCUCCGUCAUUGAAAAAACUGACGAAUGACCCCCCCUGGGCCACUGAGUCACUCACCUUACUGCCCAAGGGAGUGCAGAUCCACUUGGCAUCAUCUCAUCACCAAGCCAAACGCAAACACACGUCCGCAAACCACAUGCUGUAACAGGACUGCGGCCAUCAGACAGAUCCAGAAAACGCCUUUCAUAUUUAGACAUUUUAGACAUCUACUGUCCUU